CUACGGGUCGCACCAGUGAGGAAUAUUGCACAAUGGGGGGAACCCUGAUGCAGCAACGCCGCGUGGAGGAUGACGCAUUUCGGUGUGUAAACUCCUUUUAUAUGUCAAGAAAAUGACGGUAGCAUAUGAAUAAGCACCGGCUAACUCCGUGCCAGCAGCCGCGGUAAUACGGAGGGUGCAAGCGUUACUCGGAACCACUGGGCGUAAAGGACGCGUAGGCGGGCUUGUAAGUCAGGUGUGAAAUCCUACAGCUUAACUGUAGAACUGCACUUGAAACUACGAGCCUAGAGUAUGGGAGGGGGAGAUGGAAUUAGUGGUGUAGGAGUAAAAUCCGUAGAUAUCACUAGGAAUACCUAAAGCGAAGGCGAUCUCCUGGAACAUAACUGACGCUAAGGCGUGAAAGCGUGGGGAGCAAACAGGAUUAGAUACCCCAGUAGUC
rnacentral:rRNA from 1 species